rnacentral:sRNA from 1 species
ACUAAAUAGAUUAAGAGAAAAAUCCGGAUUACAAAAGGUCAAGAACACAAUGUCUGCGGAAAAUAAAACUUAGAUUCGAAAAUGUAAAAUACAUGCUACUUAUAGCAAAAUAUUCCGAAACCCUAAUACUCAAAACGACGCAGUAUUGGGACGGAUUAAGAACGGUACUCGACCCAGGUGGUCGAGUGAAUGGUCGAGUGAUAAGCUGGAGUCUUCUUCUCUUGCUUGUGCUCGAGUGUCUGGUUGAGUGCGGAAUGGAGAAGACUCUGAAGCUGGCAGUCGAGUAAGGACGUCGAGUGAAUGAUGAUAAGGGACUCGACCAUGUGGUAGAGUGAUUGGUCGAGUGGAUGGUGGUUGUAGUACUCGACUUGGUGGUAGAGUGAUUGGUCGAGUGAAUGAUGAUGGUGAUACUCGGCCAUGUUGGUAGAGUGAUUGGUCGAGUGAAUGAUGAUGGUGAUACUCGGCCAUGUUGGUAGAGUGAUUGGUCGAGUGAAUGAUGAUGGUGAUACUCGACCUGUUGGUAGAGUGAUAGGUCGAGUGAAUGAUGAUGGUGAAGGCAGCUACUCGACCAGGGGGUCGAGUGGUGUUGUGAAGUGGGGAAGUCGUCUACUCGACCUUGUGGUUGAGUGGUGGAUAGAAUGUCGCAGUCGAGUGAUUUGCUGUAGAGGUUGUGGCCGAGUACUUCCGGAACUUCAGGAUGACUGUACUCGAGCUCGUGGUCGAGUAUGUUGAUUUGAUCAAGUCCACUUCUUCCAAUUAGCUCACCAGCAGCUCCAAAUCAGCUCAAAACAACACA